AAUGAACGCUGGCGGCAGGCCUAACACAUGCAAGUCGAGCGAGGACUUCGGUUCUAGCGGCGGACGGGUGAGUAACGCGUGGGAAUGUGCCCUUCUCUACGGAAUAGCCCUGGGAAACUGGGAGUAAUACCGUAUACGCCCUAUUGCGGAAAGUUUUAUUGGAGGAGGAUCAACCUGCGUUGGAUUAGGUAGUUGGUGGGGUAAUGGCCUACCAAGCCGUCGAUCCAUAGCUGGUUAGAGAGGAUGAUCGGCCACACUGGGACUGAGACACGGCCCAGACUCCUACGGGAGGCAGCAGAGGGGAAUAUUAGACAAUGGGGGCAAGCCUGAUCUAUCCAGGCCGCGUGAGUGAUGAAGGCCUUAGGGUUGUAAAGCUCUUUCAGCUGGGAAGAUAAUGACGGUACCAGCAGAAGAAGCCCCGGCUAACUCCGUG
rnacentral:rRNA from 1 species